CCUACGGGUGGCAGCAGUGAGGAAUAUUGGUCAAUGGGCGGACGCCUGAACCAGCCAAGUAGCGUGCAGGAUGACGGCCCUACGGGUUGUAAACCGCUUUUAUACGGGAAUAACGCGCCUUACGUGUAGGGCUUUGCAUGUACCGUCUGAAUAAGGACAGGCUAAUUCCGUGCCAGCAGCCGCGGUUAUACGGAAGGUCCUGGCGUUAUCCGGAUUGAUUGGGUGUAAAGGGAGCGUAGACCGCACGUCAAGCGUGCGGUGAAAGGUCGGGGCUCAACCCGGGCCUUGCGGCGCGAACUGGCGUGCUUGAGUCCGCGGAAAGCAGGCGGAAUUCGUCGUGUAGCGGUGAAAUGCUUAGAUAUGACGAAGAACCCCGAUUGCGAAGGCAGCUUGCUGCAGCGGAACUGACGCUGAUGCUCGAAAGCGCGGGUAUCGAACAGGAUUAGAUACCCCUGUAGUC
rnacentral:rRNA from 1 species